AAUACGAGGGCCUGGUUGCUGGAGGACCCUAGAAAAUCCUAUUCGCCAGAGGAACCUGAGGAUGCUUGUUCGCCAAGGGAUGCUAUUUCCUGAUUGCUGUAUGAUGCAGAGGGCACUGGUUGUCGAGGCACAAUGAUUUUUCGCCGUGGGACCCAAAGGACACCUGGUCGGUUUAGAACCUGGAAUACGAGGGCCUGGUUGCUGGAGCACCCUAGAAAAUCCUAUUCGCCAGAGGAACCUG